UGUAGCUCAAUGGUAGAGUACAUGCCUAGCAUGCCUGCGGUCCUGGAUUUGAGUCCCAGCA
rnacentral:tRNA from 1 species